rnacentral:tRNA from 1 species
UUUUGCAUAGUUUAGAAAUAAAAACAUCACAUUUUCACUGUGGAGACAGGUACUUCCUUGUAAUAC